rnacentral:lncRNA from 1 species
GUAUUCAACAAUGGAGAGAGUUGUCGGAUGUAUUCCUACAUUUCGAUCUCUUGAAUUAAAUACCCCUUCAAUAAUUAGGGCCAACCCAAGCUUGUAACGAUCAUUACGGUUGGCACAUUUCAAAAAAACUUUCUCCAGGUCGCUACAAGUUAUCCGGUCUAUAUUAGCAAACAUUCUAUCCUGUAGACAGGUUUUCUCUACGAUUUUGUCAACUUCGGUAUCUUUAGACACUGGAUUACACUUCAAGCCGAUAAUUAGUGCGAACUCCGGUAGUCCAAAUCGUGCAAACCUUUGGUUUACCUUGAACCAAGCCUCAAACCGCUUUUGGCAGACUACCAAUCUGUUUACCAUUUCAUGAAUUAAUUGAGCGGAUAGUUUUAGCUCUGAUAACCUUGCAACAUGUCCUAUACAACUCUCCUCCAACUGACGCUUUUGUUGUGGAUCCAAUUUGUUGAAGACAACUGAUAUGUAUUUUGUGUUGCUCACCUGCGACACAUGGGCCGGAACACGUUCUUCCUCCGAAAUUUUAUAUCGGUGUGUCAUACUCAUCUACAAAUCAAAACAAAUGAAAACAACACUUU